GAUCAGGGAGCUUGAAAGUCCUUUCACCAGUAUUGGUUCCAAGAAUAUCACUCCAUUGAUCUCCAAUGUUUCCAACAAUUCUGUAUCCUUCUUCCUCCAAUUUCUUUCUCUCAGAUGAUUUGUAUGUAACUGCUGUUUUACCAUGAUAUAUGGUUGUAUUCCUGCAACCAAAAAAAUUUAGUAUAUUUUUUAAUGUACAUACAAAUUAAUACUAUUUUUUUUAAGUUUAAUAUAAUAUGCUAGUUUAAGUCGUUGAUUAUUUUAGUUAUAUAAUAUGUAGUGCUGGAUUCAUGACAAUGACUAAAUUGUGAAAAAAGUUAAGCUAUAUGAUCACGAAUGAUUAGUUUAUUGAAUUAUUAUCAUUCUUUUAAUUAAUUAAUGAAACGUAAAAUUAAACUACUAUUAAUGGAUCUAUCAUCUCUAGCUAGUUGGCUCAUGUUAAUUCAAUUUUAUUAAAUAAAAUAAAAUUAGAAAACUUACUUGAGAAUUAACUUCUCCCAUUUCUUAAAGCCAGCACGUCUCAAGUUCUUAGCUGUAAUUUCUUUCUGUUUGAGUGGUCUGCCUGUUAAGAACGCAAUCUUGAUACCAAGAGACAACAAUUUAUUGUACAAUUUUUUAGAUUCAGGAAGUGCUGGUGCUGUUCCAAGAUCAACCCAUUGAUUAAAUAAUGUAUCAUUGUAUGGUUCCACCCUAUCAAUUCAUUAUAUAUAUGUGUUAAAUAGCAUAUAUAUACAAAAAGUAAAACAAAAUGCAAAGUUAGAGUAUGAAAACUAAAGAUAAAGAUGAUCGAUCAUACCCAAAUCCGUGUUUAGCAUAAUAUGGAAGAUUUGAUAGUGAAGUUUCAUCAAUAUCAAAAACCCAUAUGUCUUUACCAGUUGUUAUAUUAAGAGUCUUUGCAUAGAAAUAACCUUCACGGUUAACUGCUUUAGAGUCAGCUCUAUAUUGAUCACCUAACAUAUAGUUCCCAAUAUAUUUCUCACAUUCUUUUGGUAUAGUUUUCCAAUUUAUGAUGUUGUGUGCUUCAAUACCAAGUCUCCAACUAGCACAUGAUACUUCUUCAAUGUAAUGGCCACCUGAGCCAGAUUUCACUCGAAGUGGGAAAAUUUGGUUAUUUGAACCAUGAUCAUCAUCAUGGUUUAGAAUGUUACCAUGACAUGUAACUAAGAGUGUAACAAAAAAGAAAAUGAGGAUCUUCUUCAUUCUUAAUAUAGUUGUUCACUUAAUUGCUUAUUGUGUUGUGGAGGGUUUUGUUCUUUAUAUAGACAUUUUCUCUAGUUAAGAGAAACAUGGUUGUCAAUAUAAUAAUAGGACAAUGAAAAAUGUGUACAAAUUAUUUAUUAUAUAUUUCUUAUUCUUGAUUGAAAUGAGGAAUUAAAUAUUUUAAGACUACUCCUUAGUCCUUAGUAUGAAUCGCCCUAUCGUAAAAGGGUUUAAAGGUAAAUCAAACCUUUCAAUUUAAUUGGGUAUUACCGAUUUAAAAAAUUUUGUGGUCAAAAGUUGGAACCCAUAUGUUAUGCAUGGAUGAUAUAUAUAUAUAUAAAUGAAAGCUUAUAAAGAGUCUUGGCGUGAAAGUAUUUCCUUUCAAACAAAUUAAAUGAAUGAACUCGAAAAAGCAAUCUAGUGUUAAAGUUAGAUUCUUAUGGUUUCUAAGUUAAUGGAUUAAGAAUACAAGCGUACGAGUUAAGAUGCAAGAAACAUCAUGGACAAAACUACCUAGGUAAAAUGCACAAAGAAAAGAAAAAAUAUAUACACAAAAUGCAUAUUCAAAAGUGAAAAUGAACGUAUAUAUGAAUGAGUUUUAUAUUCCUUUUAAAAAAAAAAAUGAAUGAGUUUUAUACAUUGUUCUUUCAAUCUCGUUGGAAAGAUAUGUUAUCUUGUGAAGACAGAUGCAUUUAUCUAAAGACUACAAAAGAUUUUAGAAGUUGUUGACACUACUAGAAAAAACAAAAUUAGCGAGGGAAAUUAGUGACGGAAAAAAUGAAAUUCCUCACAAAUUUCAUAGUCGCAAAAUUUAGUGACGGAAUUAGAGAGGGAUUUCACAUUUUCCCUCACAAAAUUUCUCUCACUAAUUUUUGUUUUUUUAGUAGUGUGAGUCUAAUUUUCGAAUAAACUGUACAAUUUAAUAAAAAAUAUUUUUAUUCUCUUUUUUUAUUAUAAUUAUUAUUUUUUUUACUAAAAAUGCUAAAGAAUCACAAGAGUAUUUUUUUAGAGGUCCAUAUUAAACACACCUAUAUUUUAAUUCUUAUUUAAUAUAGAUAUAUUGUAUACACUUUAAUUUUGUUUAAUUAAAAGCAAAAGCUGAGCAGUGGCAUUCAAUAGUCAGUUAGCAAUUUUCUUUUUAAAAUGAUGUCUGUUAGUCUUUUUCUUAAGGGAAAUGCUAACCGGUGUCCCGGGGCACUGAUUAAGGAUAUGAAAAAGGAAAUUAUAUAGUAGUUAAUACAUUGAAAUUGUGUAAUUAAUUUAUAAUAAUGUCAAAAACAGUUUCUUUUGAUGGUAAUAAUUCCCUUUUAUGAUAUGCUUAACCAGUAUCUUGGGAGCACCGGUUAGCAUGACCCUUUUCUUAAAUAAGAACUUAUUUAGGUAUUGUUCGAAAACAACUUUAAGUAAAAGAAAUCCUAUUCAAUUCGAAGCAUGUUCCAUGCUUGUUGGUUUUAUUCAAAAUGUGAAGUUAAUCAUGGAGUAUGAACGUCUCAUUAAAUGAUUUUUAAGUACAAGAAUCCGGCUCAUACGUCUCAUUAAAUAUUUUAUUCGAAUUGAAUAGGAUUUCUUUUUCUUAAAGUUGUUUUAUUCGAAGAAAAAAAACUACAAGACGAAGAGUAGAAACUUCACUAACAACAACUAAUAUAACAAUCGAUAAGGAGUAAAAACUCAAGUAAACACUAAGAAUCCUCACUAUCAUAUCUCAUAUCUAUUCGAACCCGAUUAUCUAUAUGUCAUGUGCCUUUCAUCACAAAAGUUCUUAAAAACUUGUUAUAUCUUUUAAUGAAGAGACUCAUCUCUUUAUCACUUGAGACAUCAUUGUUAUCACUAUUUCUCCUUGUCCUUUGUCCAUUUUCUUCAUGCUUAGUUAAUUGAAUGAGCUCCUUCUCAUGUUCUUCUACUUUAUCAAAGAGUAUGGUAAUCAUUAUUGUAGUAAAGUUUAGGUCAAAUGCAUCUAAAAGUCCUUUAAGUUUUUCGUUUUUUCCAAAGUGGUUAUUUAAGUUUCAAAAGUCCCAAACAAGUCCUUUAAGUUUCAAAAGUCCCAAACAAGUCAUUUUAGUUUUCGAAUCGUUUCAAACAAGUCCUUUUAGAGGAUGAUGGUGAUGAUUCAGAUGAUAGCAACAAAGAACAUUAUCCACCAUUUGCCAUGCCUAAAAAAAUGACUAAUUUUAAGUGGAUGUUGGAAGUCAGAUUUGGUACCAAAGACGAGUUCAAGGAAACAAUUACCAAUUAUGCUAUCUACAAUUGGACUUGUUUGAAACGAUUCAAAAACUAAAAUGACUUGUUUGAGACUUUUGAAACUUAAAUGACCGCUUUGGGAAAAAUGAAAAACUUGAAGGACCUUUAGAUGCAUUUAACCUAAAGUUUAUGGUUACUUUAUGAUUUGUAUUGUUAAUUACUUUAUGAAAGCGAAUUAAUUGACCUCAAUCAUUAAGUUAAUAAAGAGUAUUUCUAAUUCUAUCACAAAUGCAUCUUUAGUACUAUCGUUUAUGCAAUUUUCCAUUUAACACUAAAUUAAAGAUAGCACGUGAUCCAUGCAUUUUUGAUUUAUAUACGCCAGACCCCAGAAAAGAUAUGAAUCCGAAAUGUACGUUUUUUGUCCCUUUGUCAUUGUCAUGACAAGUGGCAUUUAAAAAUGUAAGGAUGCUCUUGAAUUUUGUAAAAUCAUAUUAAAUCCGAUUCACAAUUAUUGAAACAUAUUCAAUCAUUCAUAUACUUCAUUUUAAUGUCAAGGUAAAGAUAGUCUGACCAACGUUUGUUCUACCCAGAAAUUAAAUUCAAGUUCACCUGAGCGAUUCAUCAUUGAUGAAGCUCGUUUACCACUUGAACUCAAUUGUUUGGUUAAGGGACCAAUUUUCUAUUCGGAAUAAGAACAUACAUGCAAUUUAUAAUUAAAACCACAAAAUUAAGAGAAAGCUAUGUAACAUGAUUAAUUUUAUUCAAUUCAAGAACAUAAAAGUUAGCUAGCUUGAAAUGGAUUACAUGAUAGGAAUAUUUCCAUAUAGAACAAAAGAUCAAUAAUGAUCCAUUAAGCAAUUAGCUAGCUAAUUAUUCUUUAAGCAUAGAGAGAUUAAUCAAGCAAUGUAGUAAAGAGGAUCAGGGAGCUUGAAAGUCCUUUCACCAGUGUUGGUUCCAAGAAUAUCACUCCAUUGGUCUCCACUGUUUCCAAUAAUUCUCCAUCCUUCUUCUUCAAGCUUCUUUCUCUCAGAUGAUUUGUAUUGAACUGCAGUUUUACCAUGAUAUAAUUCUGUAUCCCUGCAACCAUAAAUUUGAAAUUAAUACAAUUUUUUAUUUAUGUGCCAACAAAACGUACGUGUUAAUAAUUGACAUGCCCCUCACACAUCACCUAAUAUGUCCUUUUUUUUGUAGUUACCUAAUAUGUCCUUUUCAGGUUGUAUAUGUCAGCAAUAAUUCACCUAGUUUAUUUAUUUUUAUUACUGAAAUAAUUCACCUAGCUUAUUGUUUAUCGUAUUAAUUUAUUUUGAUUAUUAUUAUAUUUAAUGUCAAAUUAUCAUGACUUUGAUUAUUUUUCUUUUUUGACUAGAUCAUGACAUUGAAUAUACUCUAUUGUAAAUAUAGAAGGUUAUGACUCAUAAUUCCAAUUACUUUCUCCUAUGAACAAUUAAUUAAUGUUAGAAAACUUACUUCAAAAUUAGCUUUUCAUAUGUGUGGUAGCCAGCUUCUUUCAAGUUCUUAGCUGUAAUGUCCUUCUGUUUGAGUGGUCUUCCUGUUAAGAAUGCAAUCUUAACACCAAGAUUUACCAGUUUGUUGUACAAUUUUUGUGUCUCUGGUAGUGCUGGUGCUGCUCCUUCAUCAACCCAUGCAUUAAACAAUGUUUCGUUGUAUGGGUUCACCCUAUCAAAUAUUGUUAGAAAAUAUAUUAACAAUGUUGAACAAGAAAGAAUUAUGUAUGUGCAAAUUAAUUAACAUUAACAUGGAUGCACCCUAACAUUUCUAGUCCUUAAAAGUUUAUAAAACACAUAUUUUUUUUGUCUCCAAUGACUUGAAAUUAAUAUACUACAAUUAUUUACAAUUGUUUUAAAUUUCUUUGUAACAUUAAUUUUAUGUAGUCAUUAUUUAAUUUUUUUUAAGCCAAACUGAAGUUCAAUACCAAAAUUAGGGUUAGAGUAUGAAAAAAAAAAGAUUAGCAUACCCA
rnacentral:lncRNA from 1 species